rnacentral:lncRNA from 1 species
CCAGACAAGUCCUUGGUACAAGAUUAGCAUAAGCAGACAAGUCAGGGUAAGACUCAGGUAUAAGAUUAGCAUAGGCAAACACCUCUGAAGUCCAACCACCCAAAGUACAAUAGAACUUCCUUUGCACGUCUGGACCCCUUGGCAAGUUUGGUGAUGGAAUUAGGCUUUCCUUGGCCAACAAUCAGCUCAGCAAUUGUCACCUCUGGGAACUUCCUGGAGUCCUUUUUCAAGGGGAAAAUAGCUUUGGAAUGGAGGAAACUGGCAAAGGAGUUGAUUUCAUCUUGUCUUUAAAGCUAGGUAACUUCCCUGAGCUGUCAAGUUGAAAGGAUACAUUCAGGCAUAAUAUUUGUAACAUUUAACUUUAAAGAUGUGCCCCCACCCCUGUAAUUUCUGUAACAGUUUGUUUGUUUGUUAUUAAGGAGCCCAAGGCACCGAACAGACAAGCGAUGAAACAAUUAAAGCACCUUAAAAAUAAUUCCAUGAAGAUGAAGGCUGCAAAAGAUCUCUACUUAACAGCCUUCUUGGAAGAGGAAGUGAAAUAUAUUUGGAGUUGAGAGUGGAUUUCAUAUUCUUUAUUCAGCUCAUAGUGGUGAGGAGGAAUGGCAGUUCCCCCACAAUAUCUGCUUUAUAUACAUUAUUUACACAAUGGGCCGCAUGGGAUUGGCUAAUUCUGGGAUUCUCCUGUAGGCCAAUCAGGUUGUGGAUUCACUUCCGUCUGGAGCUGGAUUGGGUGGCUCCUGCAGACCAACCAUACUGCUGCAUUGUUCUAGGACCAAUCAGACUGCUGCAUUUUGGAUCCUAUUCACUCAGUACAUAACAGGAAGGUUUUCAACACACACCGAAGAGAAAACAGAGGCAGAGUCUGUCUGAUAUGUCACAGGAGGGAGUUCCACAGUGGAGGUGCCCCCACACUAGGGACCCAAUCCCUAUCUUAUACAGAAAGGAAGACUGUGUCUGCACGAGACCCCAACCCACAAAGCCCAGUGAUUGACAGGACUGAGACAUUAUUUCGGGUAUCCUGGCCCCAACCUGCAUAGAGCUUUAUUCAGCAAAACCAGCACCUUGAACCUACCUGGUAGCUACUUGGGGAUCUGUCGGGGGACAGAGCUUUAUCUCAUGUGCAGAGCCAUCCACCUGCCUGUCUCCUGACAUCGUGAUAGCAUCAGGCAACCUGGAUUUCCCACAUUCCCAUUGUCGGGACUUGCAAAGUGCUGUGUGAGGAGUUUUGCAAACCUUGGUGAUCGAGAAGAGCCUUGUUGGGUGAGGCAAAAGACUCGUCUAGCCCAGCGUUGUGUUCCAACAGUGGCCAAACAGAUCCCUAAAAGCAGAGCAAGAGUGUAUGAGCCCAAUGGCAUGGCGUGCGGUGGGGACACAGGGGCGGUUGCCCUGGGGUGCAAAAUUUCAACACCUGGUGCUGCCUCAAUACAGCUGUGCGCUUCCAUUUCUGGACUCCAUUGAAAAGAGCUUCUCCAUGCGAACCAGGAAGUGACCUCUCCAGACAAUGGAACAACUCGUCUUAUCUGUGCAGCUGCCAUCUCCUGGGUGACUUGGACGCUGUUAGGUCCUUGCAUACACUGUUUUCCUCCCUUUUCCCUCCUCUGCAUGGCCCCGGGCACUAGCAACCCACACUAUGCCACUUGUAUGUUCCAUAAGCAGAAGCUUGGAAAGGUUUUCUGGAAAGAUGUAUAUGUUAAGACUUCUGUGUGGGUGUUUAUAUGCUCCCGUGAGCACGUAUGUGUUGUUUCUGUUGAUAAACUCUGAUAAAACCCUGGUCUGUUUUCUGCUUUCAAUUAGAGAGAGGGUAGAGGUAGCCUUUUGUGGCUGCGUCAGUUUAGUCCAUAUUAUUAUGUCCAGAUGUGCUCACUGAAGCUGCGCAUUAUCUCUUUGAUAGUGCUAAGAACUUUACAGUGGGUCACGGAAGUACAGCUCUCAGCCAAUAGAUCUAAUUGCAAUCCUUUUAUGUUCUCUGUGAUUGCAGGUUCCUCCAGCAUUGCAAACAAAUAGUAAUCAACUCAACCUGUUACCUCGAGGCAGCAGUGUUAGGAUGUGAAAUAUCAACUAGGCUGUAACAAUAGGGUUGUCUUUUUAAACCCCCCCCCCCAAAAAGUCACUAUCAUUAUUAUUAUUAUUAGUGUCGUUCCUCAGCUGUGAUAAAUGGCUCACACUUGCAGGCAAGGCGGAUCCUCCCAGUUCUCUCUCUCUUAUGUGCAAUGAAAAAAUGUGUUUGUGGGUGACAUGGUUUAGGUGGUCAAAUGCAGUGUCAAUAUUGUUCCCCACUCCUGCUACAGCAGCACAGUAUUAGCCAUGUCAACCAUAAUUCCCACUUCCAAAUCUACAUUUUUAUGACGCCAUUAUGCUAAUGCAAACCAAACUUAUAUUGCACCCGGUGUCUAAUCCACCCCACAAAUUAACCCAUUUGUAUUCCAGGGGAUCGAACAGGCGUCUUCUCCACCCCCC